rnacentral:siRNA from 1 species
AGAACGUGUCGAGAAGUUGUUGUC